rnacentral:rRNA from 1 species
GACGAACGCUGGCGGCGUGCUUAACACAUGCAAGUCGAACGGAAAGGCCCUGCUUUUGUGGGGUGCUCGAGUGGCGAACGGGUGAGUAACACGUGAGUAAACUGCCCUUGACUUUGGGAUAACUUCAGGAAACUGGGGCUAAUACCGGAUAGGAGCUCCUGCUGCAUGGUGGGGGUUGGAAAGUUUCGGCGGUUGGGGAUGGACUCGCGGCUUAUCAGCUUGUUGGUGGGGUAGUGGCUUACCAGGGCUUUGACGGGUAGCCGGCCUGAGAGGGUGAACGGCGACAUUGGGACUGCGAUACGGCGCAGAAUCCUACGGGAGGCAGUAGUGGGGAAUAUUGCAGAAUGGGCGGACGCCUGAUGCAGCAAUGCUGCGUGCGGGAUGACGGCCUUCGGGUUGUAAACCGAUUUCGACUGUGACGAAGCGUGAGUGACGGUAAUGGGUAAAGAAGCACCGGCUAACUACGUG